rnacentral:rRNA from 1 species
UACGAGAGGUCCUAGCGUUAAUCGGAAUCACUGGGCUUAAAGGGUGCGUAGGCGGGCCUGUAAGUGCUUUGUGAAAUCCCAUGGCUCAACCAUGGAAUUGCAGGGCAUACUGCAGGUCUUGAGGAAUCUAGAGGCCGGCGGAACGAUAGGUGGAGCGGUGGAAUGCGUAGAUAUCUAUCGGAACGCCAAAGGUGAAGACAGCCGGCUGGGGAUUUCCUGACGCUGAGGCACGAAAGCGUGGGGAUCAAACAGG